rnacentral:rRNA from 1 species
CCCUUAGAUGCUCUGGGCCGCACGCGCGCUACACUGGUCGAUGCAACGAGUUUCUUUCCUUGGCCGACAGGCCUGGGCAAUCUUUGAACAUCGAUCGUGAUCGGGAUAGAUUCUUGUAAUUUUUGAUCUUAAACGAGGAAUUCCUAGUAAACGCAAGUCAUCAGCUUGCAUUGAUUACGUCCCUGCCCUUUGUACACACCGCCCGUCGCACCUACCGAUUGGAUGGUCCGGUGAAAUCUCCGGACUGGCGUGAGUCGGAGCAAUCUGACAAACACCGGAAAGUUGAUUAAACCUUACCAUUUAGAGGAAGGUGAAGUCGUAACA